GGGAGACAGAAAACAAGAACGCAGAAGUCUGGCAGGAUCUGGCCUUCUUCGACCGAAUCAAUAGAGGUAUUGCUGGCCAUAGGGGCCUUUCCAGGGCCGAGGGACUGAGAAGGCCAGAGCAGGGCCGGUUCCUAACAUAACGUUGGGAAGGUUGGCAACCAGAAAUGCAGAAGGCCCGCAGGAACCGCCCAUUGUCCUCCACCCAUUCAAUCCAGGUAUGGCUUGGCACUGGGGGCCUUUCCAAGGCCAUGAUACUGAGACUACUGGUGCAGGGUCCAUUCCUAACAUAGAGAGGUGAGAGACAGGAAACAGGAAUGCAGAAGACUGGCGGGAACUGGCCUUCCUCCUCGGCGAAUUCGAUAGAGGUAUCGCUGGGCACAGGGGGCCAUUCCAGAGCAGCGAAACUGAGACUACUGGUGCAGGGCCCAUUCCUAACAUAGAGCUGCGAAACACAGGAAACGGGAAUGCAGAAGGCCGAUGGGAACUGCCCUUUCCCCUCCGCCAAUUCAAUACAGAAUUCUGUUAUAGACCAACAUUUGAGAAUGCCAGAACACAGAGUCGUGGCAAACGGUUUAAGGUCAAUGACCAUCUGGAGUAUGACUGUAACCCUGGAUUUGAAAACAAACAUGGAAACACCUCAGGGACCAUAGUAUGUGGUGACAGUGGCUGGUCUGAUACACCAACAUGUUUUGAUCCUAAAGAAAAAUGUGGACUUCCUCCAGCCAUUGACAAUGGAGACAUAACCACAAUGCCUUUAAAAGAAUAUGCUCCAGGAUCAUUAGUUAAG